rnacentral:rRNA from 1 species
AUUGAACGCUGGCGGCAGGCCUAACACAUGCAAGUCGAGCGGUAGAGAGGUGCUUGCACCUCUUGAGAGCGGCGGACGGGUGAGUAAUGCCUAGGAAUCUGCCUGGUAGUGGGGGACGACGUUUCGAAAGGAACGCUAAUACCGCAUACGUCCUACGGGAGAAAGCAGGGGACCUUCGGGCCUUGCGCUAUCAGAUGAGCCUAGGUCGGAUUAGCUAGUUGGUGAGGUAAUGGCUCACCAAGGCGACGAUCCGUAACUGGUCUGAGAGGAUGAUCAGUCACACUGGAACUGAGACACGGUCCAGACUCCUACGGGAGGCAGCAGUGGGGAAUAUUGGACAAUGGGCGAAAGCCUGAUCCAGCCAUGCCGCGUGUGUGAAGAAGGUCUUCGGAUUGUAAAGCACUUUAAGUUGGGAGGAAGGGUUGUAGAUUAAUACUCUGCAAUUUUGACGUUACCGACAGAAUAAGCACCGGCUAACUCUGUGCCAGCCGCCGCGGUAACAC